GCGGUAAUACGGAGGGGGUUAGCGUUGUUCGGAAUUACUGGGCGUAAAGCGCACGUAGGCGGAUUAGAAAGUUGGGGGUGAAAUCCCGGGGCUCAACCCCGGAACUGCCUCCAAAACUACUGGUCUAGAGUUCGAGAGAGGUGAGUGGAAUUCCGAGUGUAGAGGUGAAAUUCGUAGAUAUUCGGAGGAACACCAGUGGCGAAGGCGGCUCACUGGCUCGAUACUGACGCUGAGGUGCGAAAGUGUGGGGAGCAAACAGGAUUAGAUACCCUGGUAGUCCACACCGUAAACGAUGAAUGCCAGUCGUCGGGUAGUAUACUAUUCGGUGACACACCUAACGGAUUAAGCAUUCCGCCUGGGGAGUACGGUCGCAAGAUUAAAACUC
rnacentral:rRNA from 1 species